rnacentral:rRNA from 1 species
UACAGAGGUCUCAAGCGUUGUUCGGAUUCAUUGGGCGUAAAGGGUGCGUAGGUGGCGUCGUAAGUCGGGUGUGAAAUUUCGGAGCUUAACUCCGAAACUGCAUUCGAUACUGCGGUGCUUGAGGACUGGAGAGGAGACUGGAAUUUACGGUGUAGCAGUGAAAUGCGUAGAGAUCAUGAGGAAGACCAGUGGCGAAGGCGGGUCUCUGGACAGUUCCUGACACUGAGGCACGAAGGCCAGGGGAGCAAACGGG